rnacentral:lncRNA from 1 species
CCCCACCUUCCCUCAGUAAACCCAGGGUCCCUGGUCCUGCCCCUCAGGGCCUAUAAGCCACUGGGACCCUCUGCCUGGCUUCUCCCUUGAAGACGGUGCUGCCUGAGUUGAGGCCUGACUUGGCAUAACUUGGAAACUUGCUGGUCAGAGGGUGGCACCCUGUAUGCCCCUCCCUUCCAGCCUGGUCAGUGAUCCCUACUCCAGGCUGUUUGAGACCCAGGCCACACUAUCAUGUAUCCAGUGAACUCUUCCCCCGCCGGGAACUGGUGACUCAUCACUGAAGACUUGUGACAAAGAGCAGCUCCACACCUGUGCACACUUGGGGCAGGCGUGUUUCCAGAGGCCCAGAGGGACAGCGAGAGCGUGAGCAGCAACACUGUGCCAAGCAGGAAGGUGUCCAAGUGACACCCAGGACAACUGGAAGAAGCCCUCGGUGAUCACAGAAAUGGGGAGAGGCUCUGAGCCAGAUGCUGGAAGAUGCAACAGAUGUGAAUAACCUCCAGGACUGAGGACAGUGGAUGCAGGAAAAUCCUUAGGAAAGGAUGUUUUGAGUAUUUAUUCCCUUUGUUCUUAAUAGAAUUUAUUUUACUAAACCUGCCUGAUGUUUCAACCUGGGGCUGGUGCUCCGGCCUGGACCAUGCCAUCCGAAAAGGCCAGAAAUUCUCCCUAGAAGAUGGAUGGCAACUUGAAAGCCAGUGGGACCAUGUCUCCACAUCUGACACACUGCAGCCCCAAAGAAUAUAUUUGUUCAAUUGAAUCUAAAUGGAGAGGGUAUACCACAAUGGAAAAACAGCCCUAAAAGAUUUGGUCCUGCAAAGCUCUGAACAGCAUCUAUGUGGUAGCUUGCAGCAGUAUUGCCUCUGGUUCAUUCGGGGUCCCUGUAUCCACAUCCUUUCACACAGACUUGGGCCUUGGCCAUGUGGUCUGCUUUGGACAAUGGGAGAAUAGUGAACGUGAUAUGAGACUUGGGCUUGAUUUCUCUAACUGCCAUGGGAGCCCCGAGGCCACCAUGUGAACAAGCCUAAGCCAGAGGAGAACCAAGGGCUCAGCCAACAGCCAACUACCAGACAUGAGCGAAGCCCCUGACUGCCCUCUGACCAUAAGACAUAGUUGAGUUCAGCCAAGCCCAGCAGAAGAAUCGCCUGUCCGUGCCCAGCCCCCAUCACUGAUCCAAAUCAUUAUAAAGCUAAUACAUUUGUUGGUUUAAGCCACUAAGUUUCAGAGGUAGUUUGUUAAUAUGCAAAAGCUAACCUAAUCACUUCUUAGAACAGCACACCCCAAAUAGUAUCUGGAGAGAUAAAGCUAGGCAAACAGGCACACCACCAGCCCCAGGCUGUGCUAUCAGGCACUGUGGGAGGGACAGGAGGAUCCCCCAGAUUCUAGGCCAGGAGAGAGGGGUGAGGUAUUCACCUUGCAUACAAAAUUUAAAGGGCUACCCCAAAACUCAGUAAUGAAGACACAUGAUGUAAUAUUUUAAUGUAAUAUUUAAAAAAAAUCAAAUUGGUAUCUCUGGUCCACGUCCCAG